rnacentral:rRNA from 1 species
AUACGUUUCCGGAACUUCGGUUUCGGAAAGAAAGCAAUACCGUGGGUAUUGCGCUCCUGGAUGGGCUCAUGUCCUAUCAGCUUGUUGGUGAGGUAACGGCUCACCAAGGCUUCGACGGGUAGCUGGUCUGAGAGGACGAUCAGCCACACUGGCACUGCGACACGGGCCAGACUCCUACGGGAGGCAGCAGUAAGGAAUAUUGCGCAAUGGACGAAAGUCUGACGCAGCGACGCCGCGUGGGGGAUGAAGGUCUUCGGAUUGUAAACCCCUUUCGGGAGGGAAGAUGGAGUGGGUAACCACUUGGACGGUACCUCCAGAAGCAGCCACGGCUAACUUCGUG